rnacentral:rRNA from 1 species
GACGAACGCUGGCGGCUUGCUUAACACAUGCAAGUCGAACGGAAAGGCCCUGCUUUUGUGGUGUGCUCGAGUGGCGAACGGGUGAGUAACACGUGAGUAACCUGCCCUUUACUUUGGGAUAACUUCAGGAAACUCGGGCUAAUACCGGAUAGGAGCUCCUGCUGCAUUGGGGGGGUUGUAAAGUUUAGGCGGUUUGGGAUGGACUCGCGGCUUAUCAGCGUGUUGGUGGGGUAGUGGCUUACCAGGGCUUUGACGGGUAGCCGGCCUGAGAGGGUGACCGGCGACAUUGGGACUGAGAUACGGACCAGACUCCUACGGGAGGCAGCAGUGGGGAAUAUUGCACAAUGGGCGGAAGCCUGAUGCAGCAACGCCGCGUGCGGGAUGACGGCUUUCGGGUUGUAAACCGCUUUCGCCUGUGACGAAGCGUGAGUGACGGUAAUGGGUAAAGAAGCAACGGCUAACUACGUG